GUUGGAAGUGGGGGAAGGAGUCUGUCCCAGUCCCAUGACAUCUUAACCAAGCUCAGAUCAGCAUUCAGCAGUUUUCAAUCUCUGUGUAGCCAGUUGGCUUUGCACAUGUCUUCUGACUAGCAGCCCUUGAGCUGACCUCAUUUAACUUCUCUGUGCAUCAGGGUGGACGGAACAGAAGGUACAAGCCAAUACAAGCCUGAGCCAAAACAUGCAGCUGAGGAAAAUUGUCAGAUGGAGCUUCAUGCCCACUAUUUAAAGAUAAGAAAACUGGGCAUCCACACGUGCAGUAAUUGUUUCCUGUAACUUAUAUCUGGAAAAGGAUUCAGUACUGUCCCCUGUGCACAGUACUGCAGAGCUGUGAAGAUCAAAUUAUCUGUCUUCUGUGGGCUGCCCAAGGAAUGUCACCUGAAGAAGUUGCAUAGACACAUUGCUGUUCUGGGCCCUCCAGACUAUUAUGAGAGUUGGCUGUGCUGAAAGCCAAGUAUGUGACAUCUACAGCCUGCAUGAGAGUCAGCAGCAUAAGACAUCAGCUAAGUUGAUUAUUCUGUCCAUACAGGUGCAUACUCCUUGGAAAGAUGGAGAAGAAACAUGCAUGGUGAUAAUGGUGAGAACACCUGGGUGUUCUUCAAUGGAUGCUGGAUAACUGACAGACCCCAUCAGGCCAUGUUUUGGGGAACUCUGAUGACUCCUGAGUACAUUUCAAUUGGUUGGCUGACAAAGUGAUCCCAGCUUUGUUAGCACUGUGGGUCACCUGGAUGCCUCACUUCCAUACAGCAUAGUAAAAGGCACCUCUCAGAAGCCAAGGCAGAUAAAUGCCCCCACACACACACUGGGGAGAAAUGAAGGCCACCUGGAUCAGUUUUAACAUUAACCUCCCUCAUCACUUAAUCCUUACAAAUAUGUCUUCUAUAUUGGAAAUAAAAUAACACUGUUAAAUGGG
rnacentral:lncRNA from 1 species